rnacentral:rRNA from 1 species
AUACGGAGGGUCCAAGCGUUAUCCGGAAUCAUUGGGUUUAAAGGGUCCGCAGGCGGUCAAUUAAGUCAGAGGUGAAAGCCCAUCGCUCAACGAUGGAACUGCCUUUGAUACUGGUUGACUUGAGUUAUACGGAAGUAGAUAGAAUAAGUAGUGUAGCAGUGAAAUGCAUAGAUAUUACUUAGAAUACCGAUUGCGAAGGCAGUCUACUACGUAUAUACUGACGCUGAGGGACGAAAGCGUGGGGAGCGAACAGGAUUAGAAACCCUAGUAGUCC